ensembl:lncRNA
UUUUUUGGGCAAGGUUCUAAAAUAAUUUAUAUUUAUUGCACAUGUGCUAUGUGUAAAGAACGGUCACGGAAAUAGGAAGAAGAAGAAGCAUCCAGUGGUUUAGAAGGUGGUGUCAUUUAGGCAAUGAUGUGAUUUAGGCGGCGGUGGCAUGGUUUAGGUGACGGCAUGUUGAUUCUUGGGAUGGCAGCGUAGAGGCAGGGAUGGCUGUGCUGGCCUGGAGCAUAGCAGAAGGCCUAGCACCUGGUCCCUGGUGGCCGCAGGGAGUGGCAGCAUGUGUGUGUGUGUCUGUGGAAGGGGCGGCCCAGCUGUGAGCCAGCAGGAAGCUGAGAUUAAGGUGCUGAGAGGUAGAAGGACCGGAGUGUGUGCCAAGCCUGAGAACUGGGCGCACUCAGUCUCUGCCAGCCUGGCCCAGCCCUGGUGAACUCAAAUCCAGAACCAGGCAGGCUGUAGUGCCCUUCCCUCGCCCGAUUGACUGUCCUGUCCUGUUUACAGUCGCCUGUGUCCUCACUUCCUGUUUACCUCUCAGUGCUUGUGACUCAGCAUGUCCUGUUCCACUGUGCUGACCCUCUGUGGGCCAGGAUGAAGGCUGGAGGGUGAACCUUUUCUGGCUGAAUCUCCUGGACUCCUCUGCUUUAGCCAGCUUUCUCGAGCGCUUGGUCAUCUUGGAACUGCUGUGCUCUUAGAGCUAAGCUCAGUUUCCUCAUCUUGAGAAACUCUUUCCUUGACUUCCGGUUUCCUUCUGCUUCUUGGGGCCGGUCCUCCCAUGCUUGCUCCUAGAUGGUGGGAUGUGUCCUGGGUCCACAGCUCCUCUGUCUCCUGUCCCUGGGGCCAGUGCCUCACCUCUCUGGGCAGCUGAAGGGUCAUCCCAUUGUCUGAGCAGAUGACGAUGAGGGUAGUAAGUGUGGCGAUCGAGCUGCUUUGCUAAGCAUUUCACGGCUGACUCCUGACUCCUCCCUCAGCUGCGUGAGGCAGUGGCUUCUGCAGCACGGCCUGGGGCCUUCAUGGGAGCAGGUGCGUGAUCACCUGGAAAUGUCUUCGCCUCCUGUGGCUUCUGGAUUUAGAGUCAGAAGGGUUUGCGACAGUUGCAUAGGAAUUCUCCACAUGUUCUGUUCUUUUGGAACUUGAGAAAAAGUAAAACCAAACAACACGUGGGAGUCUUUUACCUGCUUGGAAUUUAUCCUGCUGUGACGUGCACCUUUGGUCCAGUUUUGUUUUCUCAGGUGGUUUCCCAAUACUGAUAGCAUUUAUUGCAUAAUGUGUCUUUUACUCACUGAUUUGAAAUGCCGUUUUCUUCACCCACCAGCUUCUCUUUGGUGUUUGGGUCUCGUUUUAGACUCCACUGUCAUUUGUUUGCCUGUAUCACUAUUCUUUCGAUCAUUAUUCUGUUCACUAAUCAAGGAAUAAUUGAGGCAGCGUCAGACAGGCAUUAAUGUGAUGACUGCCCGCACCCCUCCAGGUGUUUCCUAAGCUUUUUGUGACGGAGCCCGCCGUCACUUGUCGAACAGUACCUGAAUGGGGGAGUGAGGAUGAAGAAAAAUAAAGACAAAGAGAUAGAGUCGGGAGGGCUCCCAGAGACCGAGCACCCAAGUUUAUUUUUCUCCUCUCUUUUAUACAACAGGUGAGUUUGGUUGUUAAUCAUGACCCUUAUCCAGAGACAACUGCUUCCUUGUUUUCUAGUUCUUUGGGAAUUCCCCACCCUCAUGGGCUUCCUUGUUUCUCGGGGUUACAGAACGUUCAUCACAUUCCAGGGCAAUCUAAUUCGGCAAGGACGCGGUUCCUCAUAACAUAGUCUCCUUGCUCUAUACAAUGGAGGGUAAGAUUCAAAAUGGAGCCUCUUUGGCUAACACCGCUCUCCACACACCACUCUCCACAUUUUUGGCUUAGUUUUUAAUUGACUUGUUUUCUUAUUGUUGAGUUUUAAGAGUUCUUUAUAUAUUUUGGAUAAAAGUUUUUAAAAAAUC